CCUACGGGAGGCAGCAGUAGGGAAUAUUGCUCAAUGGGGGAAACCCUGAAGCAGCAACGCCGCGUGGAGGAUGAAGGUUUUAGGAUUGUAAACUCCUUUUGUUAGAGAAGAUUAUGACGGUAUCUAACGAAUAAGCACCGGCUAACUACGUGCCAGCAGCCGCGGUAAUACGGAGGGUGCAAGCGUUACUCGGAAUCACUGGGCGUAAAGAGUGCGUAGACGGGGUAAUAAGUCAGAUGUGAAAUCCUGUAGCUUAAACACAGAACUGCAUUUGAAACUGUUACUCUGGAGUGUGGGAGAGGUAAGUGGAAUUCUGGGUGUAGGGGUAAAAUGCGUAGAGAUCAAGAGGAAUACUCAUUGCGAAGGCGACCUGCUGGAACAUUACUGACGCUGAUGCACGAAAGCGUGGGGAGCAAACAGGAUUAGAUACCCUUGUAGUC
rnacentral:rRNA from 1 species